CAGCUCCAGUAAGCACGCUUUCAUCUGCUGCAGCUCCUGCAUCUGCUCGUUUUCGGGGUCAUGGUGUAUGGACAGAACCUUUUCUGCCUUCUCUAUCGCACACAAGGCUUUGGAGACUGCAAACCUGGACCGGAAGAGUCUGUCCCCACCUUUGGGGAUCCUGACUGCGACUCUGUGUGUCUGGUUGCCUCUCCUGCCUUAUGUCGUCUGCGACUUUGACAAGCCUGCCCUCCACACCUUCAUCAUGGACCACAAUGCUGAACUUAGAGGGCUAAGGAGAGAUUCUCAGGGCACAUCCUUGAGACAUCUCAGCCAAGUGGAUGGUAAGAUAACUGGGUUUGGUCAUUUGAUCCAUUUCAAAAUCUACCAGGUUCUGUGUGUCUGCCUAGAACCCUGCUGGGAAAUCAGUUAACCUCAAUUGUCCCGGUCAGAAAGCUCAGCCCUCGUGCUACCUGAGAUGCUCCGAUGUUUCAACGAUCUUUUCACUUAUCUGAAGGUCAUUUCUCUGGUGAUAUGACCAUCAAGGACACAGUCAACGACAAGGAAAGAGGCCCUCGAGUAGCCACAACAGAUGUUGCAAAAUGCUGACAAAAGAAGCUCAUGUUCUUCCCUCACAGGAGAGCCCAUCCCACAGAGCUGGAACAAGUUAUCUGGUCACCGAAGUCAGGGUUUGAAACCCGGAGCCCUUCUGUUGUGUAGGAAGAAGCUUUUAGUUUUUGCUUGAGACUACUUGACAUGAUAAAAUAAAUGCUGUCAUGCCACAAAGAAUGGAAUUGGCUGGCAUUAAAACUAUUUAUUUACAAAACGA